rnacentral:pre_miRNA from 1 species
UGUUUUGUAUCGGAAUCUGUUACUGUUUCUUAGGCCUCAAGCAACUAUGGAAAUCCCUGGAAGCUGCUGCAUCAUACGCCUCAGACGCAGCAGCAGAUUCUGAUAGAAGACUCAGGCAACGCAUUUGUUGUUG